UACGUAGGGUGCAAGCGUUGUCCGGAAUUAUUGGGCGUAAAGCGCACGUAGGCGGCUUAGCAAGUCGGAUGUGAAAUCCCUCGGCUCAACCAAGGAAGUGCAUCCGAAACUGCUGAGCUUGAGUACGAAAGAGGAUCGCGGAAUUCCCGGUGUAGAGGUGAAAUUCGUAGAUAUCGGGAGGAACACCAGUGGCGAAGGCGGCGAUCUGGGUCGAUACUGACGCUGAGGUGCGAAAGCGUGGGGAGCAAACAGG
rnacentral:rRNA from 1 species